UGCCAGCCGCCGCGGUAAUACGUAGGGUCCAAGCGUUAAUCGGAAUUACUGGGCGUAAAGCGUGCGCAGGCGGUUGUGCAAGACCGAUGUGAAAUCCCCGAGCUUAACUUGGGAAUUGCAUUGGUGACUGCACGGCUAGAGUGUGUCAGAGGGGGGUAGAAUUCCACGUGUAGCAGUGAAAUGCGUAGAGAUGUGGAGGAAUACCGAUGGCGAAGGCAGCCCCCUGGGAUAACACUGACGCUCAUGCACGAAAGCGUGGGGAGCAAACAGGAUUAGAUACCCUGGUAGUCCACGCCCUAAACGAUGUCAACUAGUUGUUGGGGAUUCAUUUCCUUAGUAACGUGGCUAACGCGUGAAGUUGACCGCCUGGGGAGUACGGUCGCAAGAUUAAAACUCAAAGGAAUUGACGGGGACCCGCACAAGCGGUGGAUGAUGUGGAUUAAUUCGAUGCAACGCGAAAAACCUUACCUACCCUUGACAUGCCACUAACGAAGCAGAGAUGCAUUAGGUGCUCGAAAGAGAAAGUGGACACAGGUGCUGCAUUGGCUUGUCGUCAAGCUUCGUGUCGUGAGAUGUUGGGUUAAGUCCCGCAACGAGCGCAACCCUUGUCUCUAGUUGCUACGAAAGGGCACUUCUAGAGAGACUGCCGUGACAAACCGGAGGAAGGUGGGGAUGACCGUCAAGUCCUCAUGGGCCUUAUGGUAGGGCUUCACACGUCAUACAUGGUGCAUACAGAGGGUUGCCAAGCCGGAGUGGAGCUAAUCCA
rnacentral:rRNA from 1 species